rnacentral:siRNA from 1 species
CGCAAAACCCCAACUUGAAACUGC